rnacentral:rRNA from 1 species
UACGUAGGGAGCAAGCGUUGUCCGGAAUCAUUGGGCGUAAAGCGCGCGUAGGCGGCCCCGUAAGUCCGCUGUGAAAGUCAAAGGCUCAACCUUUGAAAGCCGGUGGAUACUGUGGGGCUAGAGUCCGGAAGAGGCGAGUGGAAUUCCUGGUGUAGCGGUGAAAUGCGCAGAUAUCAGGAGGAACACCAAUGGCGAAGGCAGCACUCUGGGACGUGACUGACGCUGAGACGCGAAAAGCGUGGGGAGCAAACAGG